rnacentral:rRNA from 1 species
AGAUCAAAUUGUUGGUCGUGCCUUGGUACGUACUGGCAUUAUUGGUUUCUCCCUUCUGAAGAACCAUGAUGUCAUUAAUUUGGUGUCAUGGGGAAUCAGGACUGUUACUUUGAAAAAAUUAGAGUGUUUAAAGCAGGCUCGCGCUUGAAUACAUUAGCAUGGAAUAAUGAAAUAGGACGUUUAAUUCUAUUUUGUUGGUUUCUAGGAUUGACGUAAUGAUUAAUAGGGAUAGU